rnacentral:rRNA from 1 species
CGGGAGGCAGCAGUGGGGAAUAUUGCACAAUGGGCGCAAGCCUGAUGCAGCCAUGCCGCGUGUAUGAAGAAGGCCUUCGGGUUGUAAAGUACUUUCAGCGAGGAGGAAGGUGUUGAGGUUAAUAACCGCAGCGAUUGACGUUACUCGCAGAAGAAGCACCGGCUAACUCCGUGCCAGCAGCCGCGGUAAUACGGAGGGUGCAAGCGUUAAUCGGAAUUACUGGGCGUAAAGCGCACGCAGGCG